UUAGGUGGAUAUGAAAUUGAACUAAACUGAAACUCUCUUUUUAAUUUUCUCUUUUACAAAAAUGAUGCCAUUUUGUUCUUCUAAUCGACAAGAACGACCGUGCGGGCAUGGAGGCACUCUGCCUGAAUUAUUGGUGCCCUCAAAUCUUGUUCGCUUUUUAGUUUUCUUUUUCUUUUUUUCACUCUGAAAUCUGCCUUAAUUUUUUUUUUUUUUGGUUAAAAAAUUGAUUGAGCAUGGAGCGAAAAUAUUUUCGCUCUUCUUCACGCUCUAAAAUCUCCUUUACUCCUCUGUUUAUCUUCCUUAAUUCUUCCUAGCGACUCCAUUUAUGCGACGACGAAGAUGCCGUUGAACUGUCGAGACCUAAAACACUCUCUCGUUCGUCUCUCUAGUUUUCUCAAAGUUUCGGGAGACUUUGUGUUGGCUCUGAGUAGACUUAUUGCAGAUCGAUAUUCUUCGAAUCGUUCAGUUUUAGAGCAUCAUUUGUAUGAGUUCUUCAAGGCAAUAUCUGGUGGCUUUGUGAUGGAUUUUCUAUUGCAUUAAGUGGUAGAAGGGGAUUAGAAAUUUUCACUAUUCACUAGCACUUUGUACGAUCUGGAUUCUAGAGUGAAUUGCAUGGAUCCCUGGUGUCUUUCGGCACAAUUAUGGGUGAUACAACUGUUUACAUUUAGCUGGAGAUGGGCAAUUUGCUUCAUGUUUCUAUUCCAGAUUUGGGCAAGUUCAAUCAGACUUUAAAUGAGCAAAAAUGAAUAAUUAGGAACUUCAGAAAAUAGGUUUAAUUUAUUCAUCACUAUAUUGUACAUCUUAGAAAUGAGUAUUGGAUUUAUGUUAAUUCAUUAUGGAUAACUAGAAGCAACUGAUGAGGCAUAAGGUUGCCUUGGA